UCAACUCAAAUGGAACUUUCCUUAAAAUUGAAAAUCAAACCAACAUUGUUCCAUCUACUGAACUUCCAGAAAGUACAAAUUUAACUCCAAGAACGAGAGAAUAUUGUCCAAAAGUUUCAAGGUGUUACAGUAAAAUCUUGAACAUCAUAACAAGAAAGUUAAAUACAACACCCUUAAACAUGCGAGCAUAGUAGGAGCUACAAAAGUCAUCAACAAAGCACUAGAGAGUGGUUCCAAUCAAAUUGUCUAAACAGGCUCUUGUUGAUAUUAGUUGUCGAAGGAUAUCAAGUGGAUUGAAAGACAAAUGAGACACUUCCAAGCCUACUUAAAAAGAUACAGAGUCCAAGGAAGACACAAGCUACAAAGUGGCUAUCUUUAUAAAUGAAGUCUAAUAUCUUGCUCUUGAUUUUGCAGCAUCUCACAAGGGGACUGGGCAAAAUCAAUUUGUUCAGCGUGCUCUUUGUAUAUUACGUAGAGUCAAAACUUUUACCUGGAGACUAAAAAAGAGUAAAGCAAUAUGCAGAAGAACUUGAAGUCACUGGUGCCAAUGAGUAAUAUAUUGUUGACCAGGAAGAAACUUUGCAAUAAAAGCAAAAUUGCUGAGCGAAAACUUACAUUUAUGAUGUUGUCCACUUUUAACUUCCGGUUUCCUUGGGCUCAACAUCUUUUAAGAAAUUGGAGGUGUGUCAUCUGUCAUUCCAUCCACUUGACAUCCCUCGACAACCAAUACAAGCAAGAACCUGUUUGGAGAAUUUGAUUGAAGCCCAUCUCUUAUGCUUUAUUGAUUCCUAUUAUACGAAAUCUGAAGCAACUGAAUCACUAGAUGGCGCUGCAUAGAUGAAGAGAAAAGAGCCGUUCAAGUCAUAAAUCGAACUUUGAUUACUUCAAUUCAGUGUCACGGAACAUAAGUACAAGUAUCAAUAAAUAUAAACUUCAGAGACCAUAUACGGGCAUCCUUGGCCCUUUGAGUUCUCUAUAGACAAUAUACAGAUUGCAUAAUGAAUAAUCAUAUCAUUCGCCUUUUUUUUUUUUUCCUGAAAACCAAGUAAUUAUAUGGAUAAUGUUGAUUGCUGCAACGAGCAAUAUGGCAAUAAUAUCGGAAACAGUUAAGGUAUUAGCUGACAAUGAACAUUCAGAACGAAUAUCAUCAAAAAAACUUGACGGGAAUCACAUUUAGCAAACCAAAGACCUGUGCAAAAGCCAGCCACUCCCUAAAGGCCAGGCACUCUGCAUCUGUUGAAGUAAAGCAAUUACCAAGAACUUUGUACAAAAAUCUAGAUUUAUAGAUUAAUAUUUACCGAGUUGGAUUUUACAAGACGUUGAGGACAAACUGUAGUUACUGAACAGUGCGCAAAAGAGAAAACUAACAUCAUUUCAGAUGGCCAAUUAAUGUUCAAGUCAAGUUUGCAAAUCCUAAAACUAAUCAGACCUACUGCCAAGACAGUCUAAGGCGCAAAGAGCCUCGUUUCGAGAUUCAGCGAUUGCGGAUGAUAUAACUAGUAAAUACGUUCCUCCCUUGAGUGAGCCUCCUCUUUACCUGUCGGAUAGAAGCAGCCGGAUAUCUGCCUACCUACUGCUACGACAUUUGUACAUUUAGAUGCUACUACCGUACAAUCAAGAGGAUUAGCUGCCAAGGGGGAUUUCGGGUUGUUUUACUCUCUUUCAAACAGUAGACUUUUCGACCAUUUUAGACCUAGCUCCCCACAGGAAAUAUCAUAGGGAGAAACUACGAGAUAUUCUAAACAAAUUGUAAUCAGGUCUUGAAUAAAAUAGCUGAUAAAUUAUAUUUUUUUCAUCAGAUUUUUGAAUUAUUUGUAUGAAUGCAUGCGUAAAUCAUCAAUAAUAUAGAAACAGUGACUACAAAUACUUUUAUCCCAAAUUCUCUAAGAUAAAUAACACUAACAAUUCCUGCAACUAACCUGUCUAAAAAAUCUUAUUUGAUUGAGCCCACAAGAUGAUUUAACAGAUCCCAUGAUUAGGAAGGCAAAUAGCAGUCUCGAAAUUAUUCUACAAAUAACAAAGCAAGGGUUUCUUCAGAUCUGAUUUGUUGAAGCAAUUAGCUAAUUAAAGAAUCAAUUUUUGUCCAAAUUGAAAGUGAUAAAGAAUUAAAGAUUCCCCACCAAAAAGGAAAAGUUCCAAAUCAUAUUAAAGCGCAUAAAUCAAAGAGAAGCAGAAGAUAAAGAACAAUAUGACUAUGAAAUGGAAUAAAAUAUUACUAGAAAUUGAUUAGAAUCAUCGAGAAUCAGCGACAUUGAGAUGUUUCUG
rnacentral:lncRNA from 1 species